UACGGGGGGGCAAGCGUUGUUCGGAAUUACUGGGCGUAAAGGGCUCGUCGGCGGCCAACUCAGUCAGACGUGAAAUCCCUCGGCUUAACCGGGGAACUGCGUCUGAUACUGGAUGGCUUGAAUCCGGGAGAGGGAUGCGGAAUUCCAGGUGUAGCGGUGAAAUGCGUAGAUAUCUGGAGGAACACCGGUGGCGAAGGCGGCAUCCUGGACCGGCAUUGACGCUGAGGAGCGAAAGCCAGGGGAGCAAACGGG
rnacentral:rRNA from 1 species